CCCUAGUAGUUAGCCAGAGCGUUAAUCUAAUCAAACAGUCAAAUAGUGAAGAACCUGCAUUUUUAUAACGAGAUUUAUUCCGUGGAAGCCGAGUUCAUUGAUCUCGUCGUCUAAUAACCAAGUGAAUCGCCCCGAAUGCAAUUCUUCAUACCUCGCCCGGGCAUCCAUCACAUUUCGCUCCAUAUUACAAUUAUGUGUCUGGUAUUUGAUGACCGAAAUACUUACAGUCUGAGUGGCUCUUGCGCAGGCGAUUGGCAUCCUCGGCGUGACACACUUGUCGUUCACUUUUCUGGUAUUUAACUAAAUAAUUCGCAAGCCUGCGGAAGAAGGACAAGCAGCGGCGACACAAAAGUGAUCAGUUGUGAUCGGAAUUAUUAAUUAAUAUUCUUGCACCUUACGAAACUGUGUCGAGAUGUGGAGAAAUAAACAAUGCCGACCAAUGUAUCAGAUCAGAAAAAAACUCAUAACCAAAAUAAAAAACAACUUCAGUUGGCAGUCAUGACCGUGAAAAACAAAACAAGAAGCGCUGAAAAAGGAAUCGAAUAAGGUUUUCCUAUAGAAUAAAGCCAUAUAUAGAAUGCCGGUUAGUAAAGCUUUACAUAAAUAGGCCAAAUACUUUUGGUUUACGGAACGAAGUGGAACUACUUUUUAAAAAAGGAUUUUUCUGUAGACCGACACUUAAACAUAAUAUAAAUGGCAAGUUGGAGAAUUAUCGAACUGAAUCUAAUAAGUGUUGGCUUCCGCUGUGGCACGCGAUGUCGAGGACUAGGCCACGCCCAUUUUGCCUUGCUGAUCCAACGCCUAUGGUUAUAAAGAUGGCAACGAAUAAAGACGAUGGCCCUGAAGAGUUCUAUUCUGCGGCUUAAAAAUAUCAUUACGGCUUUAACAAAAUUAUAUUUCAUAAUUCCUAUAAUAUAUCAACAAUAAAAAAUGUAUUAUUGUAAUA